rfam:[Haemophilus] felis strain CCTG 31170 31170T_ctg_0000012, whole genome shotgun sequence.
AUUGUAGCAACGUUUCUCAUUUCGCAGUGCAACAAU